rnacentral:rRNA from 1 species
AUACGGGGGAUUCAAGCGUUAUCCGGACUUAUUGGGUUUAAAGGGUGCGUAGGCUGAUAAAUCAGUCAGCGGUGAAAUUUACGGGCUUAACUUGUAGCUUGCCGUUGAAACUAUUUAUCUAGAGAUAUUUCGGCGUAUGCGGAAUGUAUCAAGUAGCGGUGAAAUGCAUAGAUAUGCUACAGAACACCAAUCGCGAAGGCAGCAUACGAGGCAUCAUCUGACGCUGAUGCACGAAAGUGCGGGGAUCGAACAGGAUUAGAUACCCUGGUAGUCCACGCAGUAAACGAUGAUUACUAGUUGUUUGCGAUACAAUGUAAGCGACUGAGCGAAAGCGUUAAGUAAUCCACCUGGGGAGUACGUUCGCAAGAAUGAAACUCAAAGGAAUUGACGGGG